GAUGAAUAUGGCGAAGCGCUUGCAGAUGCUUUGAAAGACGAUGUACCUGGAUUAACAGGAGUGAAAGUCUUGGGAUUCUCAAACGGAAGUUUGGUCGUGUACUAUGAAUUGAUCUUUGAAGACGGAGUAAAGAACGUUUCCAUGCUGUACGAAGGAGAUGGAACAGAUCCGCCCAAACCCGGCGAACCUUUUGAUCAAGAGAAAUUUGCAAAGAAUGUCAAAACCAAAGUAAAAGAAGUGAUAAAGGAAGCAAUAUCAAACCCAGAAAAACGAGACGGUAAAUCAGACAACCCGAUACUGACCAAGAAAAACGUUGACCUGGAUUCGUUGGACACGAUUUCUGACGAUGUUGUUCACGACU